UUCUAACAUUUUAAAUUUAUUCACAGUUUAUAAUCUAAUGACAAUUAAUUUUGCUAGUUAUAAAAAUAUAAAAUAAAAUAUUAAAAUAAGUAUAUAUUUCUAAAUGAAUAUUAAAAUUUCAGGUUUUGGAUGACAGAGAACCUCUGACGACAAUAACCGAAGCGAAGGACACACUCUUUACUCACGAAUCAGUGCAUUUGUUAUCGCGGACGAUCCAAGGAACAUAUUACAGCGAUGGAGGUGGAUUUGAUUACGAUCAGUCUUGGGUCUGUGCCAUGUGCAAUCUUCCUUCUUUACAUCGACGCCAUGUAGCUGUUGCUCGGUUAAAACACCCUGCCAACAUGGGCCGAACAUUGCAUGAUGUUCGAUUUUUUAUUCUGGUGCUUACUCCCAGUAAAGAGGUAAGA